UAUAUACGUUUUUGGAAAUAUGUUUUUCAUUCCCCAGUAUAAUGAAUGGUAUAAGCAGACAACAAUGUCCAGUCGCAGUUAAAAUUUUUUGAACAGUUGGAACAUUUGGAGAAGCAAAGAAAAGAUGAACAAGAGAGAGAAAUUUUAUCAAAGCCUGCCUAGAGUCGCUUAAGGCAAGAAGACCCAGAGCAAGCAAGACUGAAACAAAAAGCAAAGGAGGUAAGCAGAGCUGGAGAUCAUUACAUUUGACAUUUCAAGGCUUGAACCUAUUAAUUUUUUAUGCCUCGCUACUUGUAUAUCAUUAAUAAAAAUCUGACUAAAAA
rnacentral:lncRNA from 1 species